rnacentral:rRNA from 1 species
UACGGAGGGUGCAAGCAUUAAUCGGAUUUAUUGGGGCGUAAAGGGCGCGUAGGCGGAAUGAUAAGUCAGAUGUGAAAUCCCCGGGGCUCAACCUCGGAACAGCAUUUGAAACUGUCAAUCUAGAGGAUAGAGGGAGAAAACGGAAUUCCACAAGUAGCGGUGAAAUGCGUAGAUAUGUGGAAGAACACCGGUGGCGAAGGCGGUUUUCUACUUUAGACCUGACGCUGAGGCGCGAAAGCAAGGGGAUCAAAACAGGG